UACGGAGGGGGUUAGCGUUGUUCGGAAUUACUGGGCGUAAAGCGCGCGUAGGCGGAUUGGAAAGUUAGAGGUGAAAUCCCGGGGCUCAACCCCGGAACUGCCUUUAAAACUCCCAGUCUUGAGUUCGAGAGAGGUGAGUGGAACUCCGAGUGUAGAGGUGAAAUUCGUAGAUAUUCGGAAGAACACCAGUGGCGAAGGCGGCUCACUGGCUCGAUACUGACGCUGAGGUGCGAAAGUGUGGGGAGCAAACAGGAUUAGAUACCCGGGUAGUCC
rnacentral:rRNA from 1 species